rnacentral:lncRNA from 1 species
AAUUAUCCUCAUGUCUCAUAUCUAGCAAGUAAGCAAUACAAAUUAGAUAUUCAUCUUAAUGUUCUUAUUAUUGUUAUUUUCUCUUUUAUGGUUUCUUCUUUUGCUAAAUAGUUGAGGUAGGAGAUUUUGCAUUUUACCUUUAAUCCAUUUAAUGUCUCUAAAUUUUAUGUAGUUAAUAACUUGCCGUUUUUCAGCCUAUAUCAACUUAUUCCCACCGCCAAUUGCAGCCAUUUUCUCAGGGCUCAGACAUUGGAGGAAAACAGCAGGUCGCUGUCAUCAUAAUUCUGACCCGUCUUGUCAUUAAUAGCCAGCCAGGAAGACUGAUUGCUGAUGGAAGCUUCCUCUUUUACUCAUGAAGUAGUAGAUGGAGAAGAAAGAGUCAAAAAAAAGGCUUUUCCCAUCAUUCUCUCAACUGAGUCUGCAGAAGAUCAGCUCCAGUUCAAUAAGUAAGCACCUGGGACAUACAGACACCACAUCUGACUCCAUCCUGCUCCUGGGAAGUGCACACAUGAGGAAGGAGCGAUAACCCUCUGUUGUAGCGUCUUUCCUUAGAAGCAGCCGUGAAACUGAAAUAUCACUGAAAAACGCAAUGGUCCCAGAAACCUUUGGAAAUUCAUUAAAAUAAACAAAAUGUGCUUUAUUCUAUGUUCUAAGAA